UACGUAGGUGGCAAGCGUUGUCCGGAUUUAUUGGGUUUAAAGGGUGCGUAGGCGGCCCUGUAAGUCAGUGGUGAAAUACUCCAGCUUAACUGGAGGGGUGCCAUUGAUACUGCAGGGCUUGAGUGGAGUCGAGGUAGGCGGAAUUGACGGUGUAGCGGUGAAAUGCUUAGAUAUCGUCAAGAACACCGAUAGUGUAGACAGCUUACUAGGCUACAACUGACGCUGAGGCACGAAAGUGUGGGGAUCAAACAGG
rnacentral:rRNA from 1 species